GACGAACGCUGGCGGCGUGCUUAACACAUGCAAGUCGAACGGUUAAGCACCUUCCUUUUGGUGGGUGUGGAUGAGUGGCGAACGGGUGAGUAACACGUGAGUAACCUGCCCCCUUCUUCUGGAUAACCGCAUGAAAGUGUGGCUAAUACGGGAUAUUCUGUGCCUGCUGCAUGGUGGGUGUGGGAAAGAUGCGCUUUUGGGUGUUUUUGGUGGGGGAUGGGCUCGCGGCCUAUCAGCUUGUUGGUGGGGUGAUGGCCUACCAAGGCGGUGACGGGUAGCCGGCCUGAGAGGGUGGACGGUCACACUGGGACUGAGACACGGCCCAGACUCCUACGGGAGGCAGCAGUGGGGAAUAUUGCACAAUGGGCGCAAGCCUGAUGCAGCGACGCCGCGUGAGGGAUGGAGGCCUUCGGGUUGUAAACCUCUUUCGCCAGUGAAGCAGGCCUGUCCCUUGUGGGUGGGUUGACGGUAGCUGGAUAAGAAGCGCCGGCUAACUACGUG
rnacentral:rRNA from 1 species